CUGGCCGACGGCACCGUUCGCACCUACUUCGCCCUCCCCACCGACUACCCGUUCGAGCCCGCCCCCUUGCCCCAGCUCCCGCACUUCCCGCGUGCCGGCCCCGAAGCCUGGCCGCCGCAUCAGCCACCGCCGCCGCAGCAGUUCCCGCCGCACGACAAGCGCAGGCACCCCGCCGACCCCGAGGAGGGCUUCUCGAGGCACCCGAAGCAGCCCCGCUUCGAGCCGCCGCCGCACCAACCGUCGCAGAUGCAGCAGCCCCCGGUGGACCGGCAAGCGCUCGGGAAGGCGUUCCUCAAGUACUCCAAGAUGCUCAACGAGAAUCCCGCCCAGAAGCGGAUCUACCUUGAAGGUGGACGCGUCCAAUGUCUCCCCUGCGGCAGGUCUUCUAAGGACUUUGCUGAUGUGCACGGGCUUGUCAUGCAUGCUUACAACCCACCAAAUGCAGAUUCAUUUGUUGAUCAUCUUGGUUUACACAAGGCAUUGUGUGUCCUUAAGGGAUGGGAUUAUACAAAAGUCCCUGAUAACUCUAAGGCAUACCAGUCAUUACCUCCUGACCUUGUUCGAGCAAAUAGGGAGGACCUUAUUAUAUGGCCUCCAACUGUUAUCAUUCGUAACACUGCCACUGGGAGGAAGAAAGAUGGACGCUCUGAGGGUCUGGGAAACAAAGAAAUGGAUAAGAAAAUUGCAGAACUAGGGUUUGCUGGUGGCAAGUCGAAGUCCUUGUAUGGAAAGGAAGGGCAUUUGGGUCUGACACUUAUCAAGUUCGCAAACAACCCAUCUGGCUUGAAGGAGGCUGAGCGCCUUGCCGAGUUUUUUGAGAGGCAAGAUCAUGGACGUGUAGGUUGGUCACGUGCACAGGCUACUCACAACUUAGACCCUGAUACGAACCCUAUGCUGGUUGAGACUGAUAGCAGGGGUGAGAAAAAGAGAAUACUUUAUGGGUGCCUUGCAAUUUCCUCUGAUCUGGAUGAAUUAGACUCGGAUUCAAGAAAAAGGGCUACUGUCAAGAGCAUAAAAGAAUUUGACCCAUCUGACUAG
rnacentral:rRNA from 1 species